rnacentral:rRNA from 1 species
UACAGAGGGGGCAAGCGUUGUUCGGAAUUACUGGGCGUAAAGGGCGCGUAGGCGGCCUUCUAAGUCGAACGUGAAAUCCCCGGGCUCAACCCGGGAACUGCGUCCGAUACUGGAAGGCUUGAAUCCGGGAGAGGGAUGCGGAAUUCCAGGUGUAGUGGUGAAAUGCGUAGAUAUCUGGAGGAACACCGGUGGCGAAGGCGGCAUCCUGGACCGGUAUUGACGCUGAGGCGCGAAAGCCAGGGGAGCAAACGGG